UACGAAGGGGGCUAGCGUUGCUCGGAAUCACUGGGCGUAAAGGGCGCGUAGGCGGAUCUUUAAGUCGGGGGUGAAAGCCUGUGGCUCAACCACAGAAUUGCCUUCGAUACUGGGGAUCUCGAGACCGGAAGAGGUGAGUGGAACUGCGAGUGUAGAGGUGAAAUUCGUAGAUAUUCGCAAGAACACCAGUGGCGAAGGCGGCUCACUGGCCCGAUACUGACGCUGAGGCACGAAAGCGUGGGUAGCAAACAGG
rnacentral:rRNA from 1 species